rnacentral:rRNA from 1 species
GUACCGGGAUGUACGAGGAGAAAGGAUUUAUUCGCUGAGGGAUGGGCCUGCGGCCUAUCAGGUAGUUGGUGGGGUAAAGGCCUACCAAGCCUGCGACGGGUAGCCGGACUGAGAGGUCGACCGGCCACACUGGAACUGAGACACGGUCCAGACUCCUACGGGAGGCAGCAGUGGGGAAUAUUGCACAAUGGGGGAAACCCUGAUGCAGCGACGCCGCGUGGAGGAUGACGGCCUUCGGGUUGUAAACUCCUUUUGUCAGGGACAAUGGUGAUGGUACCUGACGAAUAAGCCACGGCUAACUCUGUGCCAGCAGCCGCGGUAAGACAGAGGUGGCGAGCGUUGUUCGGAAUUACUGGGCUUAAAGGGCGCGUAGGCGGUGGUGUAAGUCUGGGGUGGAAUGCUACAGCUCAACUGUAGAGCUGCCUUGGAAACUGCAUUACUUGAGUCGGUGAGGGGAAGGCGGAAUUCCUGGUGUAGCGGUGAAAUGCGUAGAUAUCAGGAGGAAGGUCUGUGGCGAAGGCGGCCUUCUGGCACUUGACUGACGCUGAGGCGCGAAAGCGUGGGGAGCAAACAGGAUUAGAUACCCUGGUAGUCCACGCCCUAAACGGUGGGUAUUAGGUGUGGGGCCUUCAUGGGUUCCGUGCCGUAGCGAAAGCA